rnacentral:rRNA from 1 species
GCACGCGUGCUACACUGAUGCACCCACUGAGCGCCUCAUCUUGCCUGAAGUGGCUGGGCAAUCUUUGGAAUGUGCACCGUGAUGGGGAUGGAUCAUUGCAAUUAUUGCUUCUCAACGAGGAAUUCCUAGUAAAUGUGAGUCAUCAACUUGCACUGAUUACGUCCCUGCCCUUUGUACACACCGCCCGUCGCUCCUACCGAUUGAGUGGUCCGGUGAACAGUUUGGCCCCGUUGUGGCAUUCAGUUCCUGAGAAGAUCUUCAAGAAAUUCAGUGAACCUUAUCACUUAGAGGAAGGAG